GGAGAGGUGGCAGAGUGGUUGAAUGCGGCACACUCGAAAUGUGUUUUGGGGCAACUCAACGGGGGUUCGAAUCCCCCCUCUCCG
rnacentral:tRNA from 2 species